UAAGGAAUCAUCUUGGUUGAUUUGCCAACUUUGCCAACCCAUGGCCCUCGGCAAGUCUGCCCUUGGUUCUCUCACGUGAGAAACGGAAGGAUGGUAACUCUCCCAUAAGGCUGAUGUGGGGAUCAGAAGCAGUGUGUGUAAGAUCUCUAGUGGGACAGGCCCACAGUAGCUGCUCAAUAAGUGGCACCCAUUUCAUAUCAGAGAAUCCAUUUAAUUAAGCCAAGUAGGCAGCCGAGCGGUGUUCUGCCUAGAACAGUACGUCCACUAGCAGAGUCCCAAAUAGACUUCUGCCACGGCCAGCGCCCUAGCGCGUUAGACUCCAGUGGAUUAAGGCUGUGCUUACUGAUUCGCCUUUCCUGCCUUCGACCGCUCUUUUAUAAAACUUACUAAUGGAACCUCGGAUUAAAAAAAUAAAAUCAAUACUACCCAGUGUGGCCACUCCCAAGUACAGGCCUUUUUCUCAACCUGAUUUUCCAGGAUGAACUUAUUCACUUUUUGCUACUUCCGUAGGCACAAGGGUGGGGUCCGCGGGCGAGGAGAAGGAAAAAGCCCAAGUGAAGCUGCUCUUGUCAUCGAGGAUGGUCAAUGUGACAAAAUAAGCAGUCUGGGCCUCGCCUCCCCAGCUCCAGCGCGCUAGGGCCAGGCCUGUCGGAGGCGUUCGGAGCGACAAGCAGAACAAGGGGCACGCGCCCCGCCGCGCCCGGCCAGGCGGCCGGGCAGACCCCGGUGCGGCGGGCAUCGGACACCGGACACCGAGCGGAGCGCGGGUUAGAGGCGUGGAGCCGGGGAAGGGCGCAUGCAGGCAUUGCUAGGCUCCAAGCUGUGAAGUCGCUUCCAGAAGUCAAAUUGUUCUGAUUUUCCAACAAAGGCGUGGGCUCUUCUGUUUCUUUUUAAGUUCUGCAAUCCAGCUGACAAAUCAAGGCAUUUUUCCCAUUGAGAAUUAGGAAUCAGCCGUCGUUGGCGCUCCUGGAAAACUGCCAAGUCCCCCCAGAGGUACCUAUGAAGGCAUAAAAUAUAUUCUUACUUAUUUUAUGAACUUCAGUGUUUUCUUUAUAUCUUACUUCUGGAUCAGUGAGAAAAAUAUGGUCCAUGGAACAAACGCAGGAGCUUAAAAAGCAGAAACCGAACCACACACCCCAGAAUCCCACCUAGAAGCAGUAGAAGCCACUCUCGCUCUCAGAAGAGGAGCAGAGGGGGUGAGGGAAGGUCGUUGUCAGCUUUGGGGCCAUUAAACUAUUAGAAUUUCUAGCGAGAACGGACAAAAAAUGCCUGGUGUUACACAAGGCACCCACGUGACGUGUGCCUGACUGAGAACAACCCGAAAAACAAAACAGAACAAUACUUCGUUUUUCCAUGUAAACCUAGAAAAUAUUCUUAGGAAACUAAUGGACUACAUGGAAUUAAUUAUUUGUUCUUAUGAAUAACACAGCUACCAGUUACUGAGUAUCUAUCCAUUCUGUUACAAGCACAUGCUAGAUGCUUUACAUCCUUGACUGUUAACUCCCUACAACCACCUUAUUAUAAUUAUCAUUUCUACUUUUAAAGAUGAAAAAUUGAGUAUCAAAAUUAGGUAACCAGAUUUUUAAGCUGUUUAUCUAGUUAGGGAUGAGUGAGGGGAACCAACUGUGAACUCUUGUGGAUUACCUGUUUUAUUAAUUACUUUCAGUAGACAAACAAGUGAGUGGACUGUUUAAAUCAUUUGUGAUUUUAAACAAUUUAAUGAGCAUAGGCAGUAUUUCAUCACAGAGUCAGCUAUUAGCCUUGAACCUAAGAGUACCUGAGUACUUUACGAAAAAAAUCUUGAG